rnacentral:rRNA from 1 species
AGAGUUUGAUUCUGGCUCAGGACGAACGCUGGCGGCAUGCCUAACACAUGCAAGUCGAACGGAAGUAGCAAUACUUUAGUGGCGAACGGGUGAGUAACACGUGAGCAACCUGCCCUAUACAACGGGAUAACACAGAGAAAUUUGUGCUAAUACGGUAUAAGACCACAGUAUCGCAUGAUACAGGGGUAAAAGAUUUAUCGGUAUAGGAUGGGCUCGCGACCCAUUAGCUAGUUGGUGAGGUAACGGCCCACCAAGGCAACGAUGGGUAGCCGACCUGAGAGGGUGAUCGGCCACACUGGGACUGAGACACGGCCCAGACUCCUACGGGAGGCAGCAGUGGGGGAUAUUGCACAAUGGGGGGAACCCUGAUGCAGCGACGCCGCGUGGGUGAAGAAGCGCCUCGGCGCGUAAAGCCCUGUCAGCAGGGAAGAAAAUGACGGUACCUGAAGAAGAAGCCCCGGCUAACUACGUGCCAGCAGCCGCGGUAAUACGUAGGGGGCAAGCGUUGUUCGGAAUGACUGGGCGUAAAGGGUGUGUAGGCGGUUUAGCAAGUUAGAAGUGAAAUACCUAGAGCUUAACUCAGGUGCUGCUUCUAAAACUGCUAGACUUGAGUGCAGUAGAGGAAAGUGGAAUUCCUAGUGUAGCGGUGGAAUGCGUAGAUAUUAGGAGGAACAUCAGUGGCGAAGGCGACUUUCUGGACUGUAACUGACGCUGAGGCACGAAAGUGUGGGGAGCAAACAGGAUUAGAUACCCUGGUAGUCCACACUGUAAACGAUGGAUACUAGGUGUAGGAGGUAUCGACUCCUUCUGCGCCGAAGCUAACGCAUUAAGUAUCCCGCCUGGGGAGUACGGCCGCAAGGUUGAAACUCAAAGAAAUUGACGGGGACCCGCACAAGCAGCGGAGCAUGUGGUUUAAUUCGAAGCAACGCGAAGAACCUUACCAAGACUUGACAUCGUAUGACCGCCUAAGAGAUUAGGUUUUCCCUUCGGGGACAUAUAGACAGGUGGUGCAUGGUUGUCGUCAGCUCGUGUCGUGAGAUGUUGGGU